rnacentral:miRNA from 10 species
GCCCUCGAGCCACAGGGUCCAGCUGUCGGCUAUAAUAGCCUACAGGUCUCUGAAGAUCACCAUGUUUCUGGGUC